AAGAAACUAUCAAGGUUAUAUUUAGACAAGACUGCAAUUAAAGAACUGCCUUCGUCAAUUAAUAAACUCACAGGCCUCACUGUUUUGGACCUAUCUCGGUGUCGAGAACUCAAGAGCCUGCCGAGCAGCAUUCAUAUGGGAUCUCUUCAAACCCUUAAUCUUUCUGGUUGCUCAAACCUGGAGCAGUUUCCAGAUAUUUCAGGUGUUAUGGAGAAGCUAUCAGAGCUUUAUUUAAACGAGACUGCAAUUAAAGAACUGCCUUCGUCAAUUAAUAAACUCACAGGCCUCACUGUUUUGGACCUAUCUCGGUGUCGAGAACUCAAGAGCCUGCCGAGCAGCAUUCAUAUGGGAUCUCUUCAAACCCUUAAUCUUUCUGGUUGCUCAAACCUGGAGCAGUUUCCAGAUAUUUCGGGUGUUAUGGAGAAGCUAUCAGAGCUUUAUUUAGACGAGACUGCAAUUAAAGAACUGCCUUCGUCAAUUAAUAAACUCACGAGCCUUACUAUUUUGGUCCUAAGAGGCUGUCGAGAACUCAAGAGCAUGCCAAGCAGCAUUCAUAUGGGAUCUCUUCAAACCCUUAAUCUUUCUGGUUGCUCAAACCUGGAGCAGUUUCCAGAUAUUUCAGGUGUUAUGGAGAAGCUAUCAGAGCUUUAUUUAGACGAGACUGCAAUUAAAGAACUGCCUUCGUCAAUUAAUAAACUCACAGGCCUCACUGUUUUGGACCUAUCUCGGUGUCGAGAACUCAAGAGCCUGCCGAGCAGCAUUCAUAUGGGAUCUCUUCAAACCCUUAAACUUUUUGGUUGCUCAAACUUUGAGAAGUUUCCAGAUAUUUCAGAUGUUAUGGGGAAGCUAUCAAAGCUUUAUUUAGGUGGGACUGCCAUUAAAGAACUGCAUUCGUCAAUUAAUAAACUCACGGGCCUUACUGUUUUGAACCUAAGAGGCUGUCGAGAACUCAAGAGCCUGCCGAGCAGCAUUCAUGUAGGAUCUCUUCAAACCAUUAUUCUUUCGGGCUGCUCAAUGCUUGAGAAGUUUCCAGAUAUUUCAGAUGUUAUGGAGAAGCUAUCAGAGCUUCAUUUAGAUGGGACUGCUAUUAAAGAACUGCAUUCAUCAAUUAAUAAACUCACGGGCCUUACUAUUUUGAACCUAAGAGGCUGUCAAGAACUCAAGAGCCUGCAGAGCAGUAUUCAUAUCGGAUCUCUUCAAACCCUUAAUCUUUCUGGUUGCUCAAACCUUGAGAAGUUUCCAGAGAUUUCAGAUGCUAUGGAGAAUCUAUCAGAGUUAUAUUUAGAUGGGACUGCCAUUAAAGAACUGCCUUCAUCAAUUAAUAAACUCACGGGCCUUACUGAUUUGAACCUAUCUUGGUGUCAAGAACUCAAGAGCCUGCCGAGCAGCAUUCAUAUGGGAUCUCUUCAAACCCUUAUUCUUUCGGGUUGCUCAAUGCUUGAGAAGUUUCCAGAUAUUUCAGAUGUUAUGGAGAAUCUAUCAGAGUUAUAUUUAGAUGGGACUGCCAUUAAAGAACUGCCUUCGUCAAUUACUAAACUCACGGGCCUUACUGUUUUGAACCUAUCUGGGUGUCAAGAACUCAAGAGCCUGCCGAGUAGCAUUCAUAUGGGAUCUCUUCGAACCCUUAUUCUUUCGGGUUGCUCAAUGCUUGAGAAGUUUCCAGAUAUUUCAGAUGUUGUGGAGAAGCUAUCAAGGUUAUAUUUAGAUGGGACUGCCAUUCAAGAACUGCCUUCGUCAAUUAAUAAACUCACGGGCCUUACUGUUUUGGACCUAUCUGGGUGUCAAGAACUCAAGAGCCUGCCGAGCAGCAUUCAUAUGGGAUCUCUUCAAACCCUUAAUCUUUCUGGUUGCUCAAAACUUUGAGAAGUUUCCAGACAUUUCAGAUGUUAUGGAGAAGCUAUCAAAGUUAUAUUUAGAUGGGACUGCAAUUAAAGAACUGCCUUCUUCAAUUAGAAAUCUUCCAGGUCUUGUUACGUUGAACGUAAGAGAUUUUAGAAAACUCAAGUCUCCCAAGCAGCAUUUGUGAUCUCAAGGCCCUUCACUAUCUUAGUCUUUCUGGUUGCCCAAAGUUUGAGGUGUUGGAAUUAUUGGGUAUUGCUCAUUUAUCAUUAUUGAGUACAUUAGAACUCUGCAGAAACAAUUUUGAGAGCUUGCCUGCGGAAAUGAAUUGGCUUCAUUGGUUAACAAGUCUCAAAUUGGAAGGUUGCAAGGGACUGAAAUCAAUACCAGAGAUUUCAUCAACUAUAAGGUUCAUAGAUGCCCAUGAUUGCACGGCUUUGGUAUCUGUUUCAAGACCAAGCAAGUUUUUUCCGAAGAAUCUUUACUUGACAUUUUCAAACUGCUUCCAGCUGGUGCAAAAUCUAUUUGAAGAUGUUGUGGAAGCUCAUCAGGUCUCUCUCUCUCUCUCUCUACGUGCAAAAGUAUGAAACAUAUCUAAUGCAAGUCCAGUUUACCUUUGUUUUCAUUCUGCAGGGUAAUCCGCAACCUCUUUCCUUGUUUAUGUAUCUUCCUGGAAGUAAACUUUCAGAUUGGUUCAGCCAUCAGUGUAGCAGAUCUUCCGUAACUGUGCAUCUACCACCAGUCUUGGAUCAUAAGAUUUUAGGAUUCGCUGUGUGCGGUGUUACUAAGUUCAAGUAUGCACAUUAUGCAUCUGAUCUAUCUGCUCUGUGUUUUUGUACCUUCAAAGGAGAGCAUGCAUGGCGAGCGCGGUUUCUGCUUUGAUUUGCUUGAUUUGAGCAUCACAAGAGGCAGGUUACUUGAGUCAGAUUAUGUGAUUCUGGGGCACCAGUUCAGCAGCAUCGCGUCAGAAGGAGUGGAGUUCGUCUCUUUUAUGCCAACUGUGAGGAGGUGCAUAAUCUCUUUUAUGCCAAUUGUGAGAGGAAGCUAAUUGUAAGCCCGUGUGGUCCCUUUUAUCCCAAAUUUGAGGUGGUGCGUUAUUGAAGCAUGAUACAGCCGGAUCAAUUCCACUUUCAAGAACAACACUAUCAUCAUGAGAAUUCUGAAGCCGAACUUCGUGCUUUUGGCAAAUCAAUGGUAAGAGUUGCACAUUCUGAGAGGAACCGUGAAGGGUGUUGCUAUAACGAGGGUGAACAAAAUGGAAGUGAUACCUCUGACGCAGAGGAUUUGUAUUCUAAAAGAUUGGUACUUCCUGAUGGGGCAAAGGAAAACUGAAGAGAACAAUCCCUCUGUGUUGGAUUUGAUGGCUCAGUCCUGUUGGGUCUCAACACUUUCUACGCGGACCUAAAACCAAACUGUUGUGGCUCUUUAGUUGGCAUAUGCGGAUCCCAUGCUAGGUCUCUUUAGUGCUCGUAUUUAAAGCCUCGCAUUGUGUCGAAUUUGGAUGAGACGGUGGGAAAUGUGAAUACAAGCAGCUGCACUAGUGUAAAGGAAAGAGAAGAGCCGACACCCAAUGGAAGAGAGAAGUAAAAUGGGGAGCUGCUGCGUUUAAGGUUCUGUAAGAGUGAAACCAAUUAGCGAUUGUUGUAGUUGUAGAGAAACAAAUAUUUUGUUUGUAAUUCGUUUUUUCCCUCUUCUAUUUGUGAGUGUAUCUGGGUGUAUUUUGGGUUUGAGUUUGAGAGUACUCUUUGUAAUCUCCUUUUCCUUUUGUUUAUUAGUGAAACUUCCUUGCUGUCCCCGAACUGGAUGUAGGUUUACGCCGAACCAGUAUAAAUCUUUGUGUCAUUUUAAUUGUUUGUUUUGUCAUAUUUUUCCGUAUUAGUUUAUUGGUUUCAAGUUAGUGUUUCCCGCACAACACAUUGAACCCCGAGCUUGUUGUAUUUGGAAGUGCCAAUUCAGAUAAUGUGAGUCGUCCAAUUUGACAUUGACAGAGGUUGAGAUGAGCUUGUUGUAAUGUUAAUUCAAAAUUAGAACAAGAGAAAUGGCUCGAUGUGCUGAAAUUGAAAAAUUCAAGGGGUGUGAUAUCCACACAUCCUAUUUUACUUCUCACACAUUCUUUUAAUUUUCGACUGUCGGAUCGGAUGAAUUGAAGAAGAUCAACGGACAGAAAUUAUCAAGGGGUGUGCGAGAAGUAAAAUGAAGUGUGCUAUCAUGAAAACAAGAUUAAUUAGAAUAAUUAAGUUUUUAAUUGCUCAAUUCUGUUCCAUACGAACUUAGAAUAUCACUUUGUAGAGCUGUAAUAACUUUGCAGCCACAAGACAUAAAUACCAAGUACCCUUAAUUGCUCUUCCGGACGUUUCUGGUUCGUGUUGACAUAAACAAUAGAUUUUUUAGUGUGCUUGACAUACGGCUCAGUACACCAAAUUUAAUAAUAAUUGGUUGGAAACUUAAAAAAAAAAAUUAUAAUGAAUUGUAUCAUUAAUUCUUGGUGUACCAAAUAAUUUGCCGGCCGCACGAAAAAACUUCUCGACAUGAAUACAACCCAAAGGCGUCACUAUUAGCUACUACUAAGAAUACAAAGUUUACAUGAAAGAAAAAGGUUAAACUAUCAUUUCACGUUCAACUUAAAUAAUUACACACGAGUUAUCUAGUUACACAAUUGUGUAAGCGUGCUAAAAUGUACGUCACUUUCAAAUUAGGUGGGUUGGAUGGGAACACAAACUCUUAUUAACCACGAUAAAUGGGUCAGCACGAUUAUGCCCAACCCAAACAAACUUAUUUUUUGUCCUUUUCAAGUCGGAUUAUCGAAUCUGUCUAAAAUUGUUACCUCUACUCUUUCUUGGCACACCCAAAUUCAAACAAAAACAAUGAAAGGUACAUCCGAACAAAAAUACAAUAAAAGGUACAUCAUACAACUCUCAUAUUUUUAAUAGAAAACGCGCAUUAUCCUCGUCAUACAUAUGAAAGAUUUCAGAGUAGUACCAUUAAUAAUGUGACAGUAGUUUAGAAGCCAAACGAUGCUAUUAGACAUGACACAUAUGUGAGAAGCUGACACUUACCUCGAGGAUAUUUCCAAUCACUCUAACUCAUUUUUCAUAUGAAUAGCGAGAUCGGAAUAUAUUUCCGAUUUACAAAGAAGUUAUUGGGUUGGGUAUGCAGAUGAAGAUUCAACAUAGUUGAACGAUAUCGCGUAGUGUAGAAUAUCAUUUUUUUGUUUGUUUGGUUACACUAGGUGUAUUUGCCUUUUUAUUUCAAUAAAAUUUCACCUCGCACAAUCGAGGGUUCUUUAACAAAAAGGAAAAGUAUAGAUGGUAUAGAAUAUCAUUUAUACUAAAAAAAACAUAUUCAUACAAAUUAUACUCAUGAGAUUUGCAGUUGGCGCUUUACUACAGUGACGAAAAAUAAUAAUGCAUAUACACUUUGAUGCCAAUUCGAUCCUUAUGGAUUUGUUGUGAAUUCAAUCCUUACAGAUUUUCCUCUUCUUUAAUAACUAAUUACCUAAACCACCAACGUUGCUCUACCGUAAAAAUUAAUAAUAAAUAAAAGGAAAGGGUCAUUUAAGAUUUGCUGAGUUUCAAAACCAGAUUAGUGUACUUUACGUAAUGAUCUAAUUUGCAUUGGCUCAUUGACUUCGUGUCGGUCAGACCAUUUUCCGGUGAUCCAAUUGUAGUUCAGUUGAGUUAGCAGCUCAAUCAUAAGCGAAUCGUCGAGGCUUUCGAUCGUGGUUUUCUCCCAGAACUACGCUUAUUCGACGGGGUGCUUGAAAGAACUGGUCAAAAUCCUGGCGUGCAUGGACGCAAAGAAGCAGACAGUGGUGCCGAUUUUCUACCAAGUUGAUCCAUCUGAAGUUCGUAAGCUCAAGAUAAGUUUUGCAGAAGCUUUUUCCUCAAAACGAACGCGAAUCGAAUGCCGAAAUGAAAGAGGUGGAGAGCUGGAGGUCCGCGCUAACCAGAGCCGCCAAUUUAUCCGCUGGGAUUCGCGAAAAUACGAGUAAUUUGGAUCAAUACCGCCAUGAGCAGCUUAUGCUGCUGAAUUCAAAUCACGAUGGCUUCACCCAUACAAACUAAACUCAUGAAAUGGGAUUUUCUUUUGACGGAAAAAAAAAAAAUAAUAAUAAUAAUGUUUGCGGGCCGUGGGCCUAUUUGGACUCAUUCUGAUGGGCCUUUUAAAAAUUUAAAACCGGGCUAGUCCAAUUCGUAUUUGAAUUUUCCAAUACGUUGAAGAAUUAUUUUAGGAUAGUGUUAUCCAGAUACUUAUCUUUUUCUUUCACACAUUUUUUUAUUUAUUUUUGGCAGUCGAAUCAAAUAAUUUGAAGAAGAUCAAAUGAAAAAAUUAAUAAGAAUAUGUGAGAGGGAAAAAAAUAUGUGUGAAUAGAUCUACCCUUAUUUUAUUACUAGCCUUUUUCUUUUGCAUUUGGUUUUUUUUUUGGAUACUUUAUUGUUUUUUUUUUAAAUUGGCUUAAUUUUAUAUUUAGAAUAAAUUCAACAUAAAAAGUCAUUAACUUCUCAGUAAGAAGCGGUUAUUUCUUUUCAAUUUUUUAAUUACUACACUUUUAUUUAAAAUUUACUAGAAUAUAGCCAUGCACAAAGGGUGUGUGAAUAUUUUUUUUGUUUUUAAAAUUAAAGGAGAGCAUAAGAGAGCAAAAGAGUGAGAGAGAAUGUGAGAGUGGGAAGGGAGGAUUAUUAUUAUUUUUUUUAAAUUAAAGGCGCCGGCAUCCCACGUGUCGCGAGUACACCAGUAAUCGUCUUCCUCGCGAAGGUCAUAAUUUUGCUUAUUUUCAUCCUAACUUCCAAGGCUAAUUUCUAACUCAAUACUUAAACCAAAUUCAAUGAUUCAAAAGCCAACUAGAAACUAGGAAUGUGGGGAAAAGGUUUAUACUACUUCGGGGUCCAAUCGUGGCCUGAGUUGAACGGGGAAACGACCUAAAAGUGGCCCGAUGGUCACGGCCAAACUUUCCAGAAUUUUGGAAAUUUCUUCCCAACUUUCAUAGCUAGUUUCUAAUUCAAUUCUUAACCAAACUUGAUGAUUGAAAAUCCAUAAUGAAGUUAGAAAUCUAGAGAAGAGAGUCAUACCCUUAGGAGGCCCAACGAAGAUCAUAAUUGGCCGGCAAAUUGGUCUGAAAAUGGUCAAAUGGCCACGAGUCUUGUUUUCUAGAAAUCUGGGAAAUUUUUCCUAGGUUGCUUCCAAAUUACGGUGGUGCUAUGGCGAAGCUCACCAAAGAGAGUUGGAGAUGAGAAAGUUAUGGUGGUGCUAUGGCGAAGCUCGCCAAAGAAGGCAGUAGGUGGUGACGUUUUUUGUUGAACUGGCAGAGAGAGAGAGUUGACAGAGAUGAGAGAGAAGACACGAGAAAGUUCUCGAGGGAGAGAUCACAAAGGGGAAAAGAAAAGGGCACCAGAAAUAAGGUGCCACGUGUCAGUCAUGUGGUGUCCAAAGUGGAGAAAUAUCUCCAUUUGUGAACUUACCAAAAUACCCUUACAUUUGAAUUCCACAAUAUCCCCGUUGUUGCUCCAAAUUCAAAUCCGCUUAUGCCCACGCGUUCGUAUCGUCGAGUACUACCCAAUUACGCUAAAAAAAAAUCAUACGUUUCUCUAGACGAUGAUUAACUGAAAUCAAAGUCCUGGCCUCUAGGGGCAUUUUCUUCGAUUCCCUCGAUUAAAAUAAAUAAAAACAUAAUUUCAAGGAUGGGUUGUCACACCUAUCUUUCUGGUUGCUCAAUGCUUGAGAAGUUUCCAAAUUGUUCAGAAGUUAUGGAGAAGGUAUCAGGGCUUUAUUUAGAUAGGAAUGCAAUUAAAGAAUUGCCUUCGUCAAUUAAUAUACUCAUAGGCCUUACUGUUUUGGAUCUAAGAGGCUGUCGAGAACUCAAGAUCCUGUCGAGCAGCAUUCAUAUGAGAUCUUUUCAAACCCUUAAUAUUUUUGGUUGCUCAAUGCUUGAGAAGUUUCCAGAUAUUUCAGAUGUUAUAGAGAAGCUAUCAGAGCUUCAUUUAUAUAAGAUUGCAAUUAAAGAACUGCCUUCGUCAAUUAAUAAACUCACAUGCCUUACUAUAUUGGACCUAAGAGGCUGUUGAGAACUCAAGAGCCUACCGAGUAACAUUCAUAUGGGAUUUCUUCAAACCCUUAAUCUUUCUGGUUGCUCAAACCUUGAGAAGUUUCCUGAUAUUUUAGAUGUUACAGAGAAGCUAUCAAAUCUUUAUUUAGUUGGGACUGCAAUUAAAGAACUGCCUUCGUCAAUUAAUAUACUCACGGGCGUUACUGUUUUGGAUCUAAGAGGCCGUCGAGAACUCAAGAGCCUACUGAGCAGUAUUUAUAUGAUCUCUUCAAACCCUUAAUCUUUCUGGUUGCUCAAUGCUUGAGAAGUUUCCAAAUAUUUCAAAUGUUAUGGAGAAGCUAUCAGAGCUUGAUUCAGAUGAGACUGCAAUUAAAGAACUGCAUUUGUCAAUUAAUAAACUCACAGGCCUUACUAUUUUGGACCUAAGAGGCUGUUGAGAACUCAAGAGCCUGCCGAGCAACAUUCAUAUGGGAUAUCUUCAAACGCUUAAUCUUUCUGGUUGCUCAAACCUUGAGAAGUUUCCAGAUAUUUCAG
rnacentral:lncRNA from 1 species